rnacentral:rRNA from 1 species
UACGAAGGGGGCUAGCGUUGCUCGGAAUCACUGGGCGUAAAGGGCGCGUAGGCGGCCUUUUAAGUCGGGGGUGAAAGCCCAGGGCUCAACCCUGGAAUUGCCUUCGAUACUGAGAGUCUUGAGUUCGGAAGAGGUUGGUGGAACUGCGAGUGUAGAGGUGAAAUUCGUAGAUAUUCGCAAGAACACCAGUGGCGAAGGCGGCCAACUGGUCCGAUACUGACGCUGAGGCGCGAAAGCGUGGGGAGCAAACAGG